rnacentral:lncRNA from 1 species
ACAUUGUAUGUACAUGUUUUGUUGAUCGCAAUUUAUAUUUUGUUAUUAACUAUAUUCAGUGUAGCUAGCUAAGAGCUUGAUGACCGGUACCCGAGAUUUCAAGUUUGAAGUCUAAUCGCUUUACACGUAUAUAAAAAAGGUAAAACUAUACAUAACUUAUCUGAGCUAUAAUUCAUUUUGAAUUAAUUGUCUGAUCUUUCAAAAUUUUAGCUUUAUUACUCAAUCUUUCAAUUUUAUCUGAUUUGAGCUGGUCAACAGCACAUUGAUUUUAAAAUUUAAGCUAAUUGCUUACAUUAUUAAACUUAUAGUUGCGAGAAUUAUAUAGAAUAUUAUGAACUAACUAAAUCUGUAAAGAUAAACAAUAUAUUUAAUUUUUGAAGUCAAAGUGCCGUUAACUACCGACUAAAAUCAAACCAAUUAAAAAAAUCAGAUAAUAAAAUCAAAAUUUUAAAAUAUCAUAAAAUGGUCUAUAAUUCAAAUAAGUUUUAGAUAUUUUUGCCAUAACAAUAAUAAUAAUAAAUGAUGUUGAUAACUUGCUACAUCCCCCCCCGGGACAAAAA